UUGGCCCCCCCCCCGGCGGUUAGACUUUAAAGUUAAAUGAAGAUAUAUUAGGAAAAGUUAAGUAACUAGUUUAAUCAAUAAUUAAGGGAAUAAAAGGUGAAAUUAGAUUAUUUCUUUUAAUAAGUGUUUAUAUAAUUAAAGCUGAAACUAAAAAUUAUUAGAAUUAAACUAGGAUUAGAUACCCUACUAUACUAAUARAWAUUAGUAAUCCUAAAUUAUUAACAGAUAUGAUCUUGAAAUUUGAAGAAUUUGGCGGUGAUUUAGUCUUGUUAGAGGAACCUGUUUUUGAAUCGAUACACCACGUGGAAUUUUACUCUCUUUAUUUAGUUUGUAUACCGUCAUUAUCAGAUAAUUUUAAGAGAACUAAUUAUUAGACUUUAUAUAAACAUAAAUUAACUUAGAUCAAGGUGCAGCUGAUAAGAGAGUUAAAAUGGGUUACAAUAAAAUUUAUUUAUUAUGGAGUAAAUAAUAAAAAUGAGUUAUGAAGGAGGAUUUAAUUGUAAUAUAAGUUUAAUAAGCUUAAAAGAUAUAAGCUCUAAGUCAUGUACAUAUCGCCCGUCGCUCUCAUUAWWUAGAUGAGAUAAGCGAGAAAACGGGGGACU
rnacentral:rRNA from 1 species